ACGGGUGAGUAACACGUGAGUAACCUGCCCUUGACUCUGGGAUAAGCCUGGGAAACUGGGUCUAAUACCGGAUAUGACUUCUCAUCGCAUGGUGGGGGGUGGAAAGCUUUUGUGGUUUUGGAUGGACUCGCGGCCUAUCAGCUUGUUGGUGGGGUAAUGGCCUACCAAGGCGACGACGGGUAGCCGGCCUGAGAGGGUGACCGGCCACACUGGGACUGAGACACGGCCCAGACUCCUACGGGAGGCAGCAGUGGGGAAUAUUGCACAAUGGGCGCAAGCCUGAUGCAGCGACGCCGCGUGAGGGAUGACGGCCUUCGGGUUGUAAACCUCUUUCAGUAGGGAAGAAGCCCCUUUUUGGGGGUGACGGUACUUGCAGAAGAAGCGCCGGCUAACUACGUGCCAGCAGCCGCGGUAAUACGUAGGGCGCAAGCGUUAUCCGGAAUUAUUGGGCGUAAAGAGCUCGUAGGCGGUUUGUCGCGUCUGCUGUGAAAGACCGGGGCUCAACUCCGGUUCUGCAGUGGGUACGGGCAGACUAGAGUGCAGUAGGGGAGACUGGAAUUCCUGGUGUAGCGGUGAAAUGCGCAGAUAUCAGGAGGAACACCGAUGGCGAAGGCAGGUCUCUGGGCUGUAACUGACGCUGAGGAGCGAAAGCAUGGGGAGCGAACAGGAUUAGAUACCCUGGUAGU
rnacentral:rRNA from 1 species